rnacentral:rRNA from 1 species
UGCCAGCAGCCGCGGUAAUACGAAGGGGGCUAGCGUUGUUCGGAAUCACUGGGCGUAAAGCGCGUGUAGGCGGCGCUGUAAGUCGGAUGUGAAAUCCCCGGGCUCAACCUGGGAACUGCAUCCGAUACUGCAGUGCUAGAGUCCCGGAGGGGGUGGCGGAAUUCCUGGUGUAGAGGUGAAAUUCGUAGAUAUCAGGAGGAACACCCGUGGCGAAGGCGGCCACCUGGACGGGUACUGACGCUGAGACGCGAAAGCGUGGGGAGCAAACAGGAUUAGAUA